rnacentral:ncRNA from 1 species
UCUGUUAUUCUUUCAUUAUAAUUGAUUUCCUAGUUGUUUUAAAGAUGAACAUGUUUAGCUAGAUUGAUUAAAUCCAUUGGGAUUUCUUUACUAUGUUGGCUUAGUACUAAAUUGUUGCAUUGCCGACCGACCUUGAUCUUCUGAAAAGCGUUCGAGUGAGAGCAUGCCUGUCGGGACCCGAAAGAGGUGAACUAUGCUUCAGCGGGGCGAAGCCAGAGGACCCUCUGAAAUUUCCCUCAGGAUAGCUGGAGCUUGGGACGAGUUCUAUCGGGUAAAGCCAAUGAUUAGAGGCAGCGGCGACGCAACGCCCUCGACCUAUUCUCAAACUUUAAAUAGGUAGGACGACACGACUGCUUCGUUGAGAUGGGCCACGGAAUCGGGAGCUCCAAGUGGACCAUUUUUUGUAAGCAGAAGUGGCGAUGCGGGAUGAAUCGGAGGCUAGUUUACAGUGCCCAACUGUGCGCUAACCUAGAACCCAUAAAGGGUGUUGGUCGAUUAAGACAGCAAGACGAUGGUCAUGGAAAUCGAAAUCCGCUAAGGAGUGUGUAACAACUCACCUGUUGAUGUGCGUGGAAUACACACAUCUAAAUGGGAUUUUAAGGCUGAUUUUAUGUACAUUUGGAUGUGAAUUGGUCCCAACACUCACCCUAUGCAUUUGUUUGUGUGCUUUAGGUCCAAAAGAAGUCAAAGAGUGAUAAAGGGAAGAAUUGGAGCAGAA